GGAUGCUCCGGCUGCCAGCAGCCUGGCUGGGCUAUCCCCACAGUGAUGGCAUUCCCUGAUCACGGCCAUCAGGUGGAGGUAUACUUUUCCCAGGAAGUGAACAUGGAUAUUUUUGAUAGAGCUGUUUUGAAGCCGGCUAUUGUGCACAGAGGAGGCUCCCAGCAAUUUUCAAACUGAGCUGAAAAAUUCUCCCUAGCAAAAAGAAAGAUCUGCCUGGAGAAUACUGAAGAAUUUCAGCGCCGAAACUAUGUAUAAAUUUCCUUCUGCUGACAAUCAUUUUCUUUCAUUCUGUGCUUCACUGUAAUGACUCAUGUAUCCAGUAUUAUUUAUGUUUUUUGUUUUUUUUUUGUAAUACACAGGCGAUUGUGUAAUUAACUUUACAACAUCUGGGAGUUAAAAAAUCCCCACAAAACUAUACCAAGAAAAAAGUUGCAAAUGGGAAAUAACCAUGAGCAUGAGAUCAUUCCUAUAUCACUGCAGACUUUUAUUAAUGUUUGACUCAAAGGGAUCAUUUUCUCUAGAUUUCUUGGAAUUUGCUUAAUUUUCC
rnacentral:lncRNA from 12 species